rnacentral:rRNA from 1 species
AACUCCGUGAUAGCUGGUUCUCCCCGAAAUGCAUUUAGGUGCAGCGUUGCGUGGUCCCUGGUGGAGGUAGAGCUACUGGAUGGCCGAUGGGCCCUGUGGGUUACUGACGUCAGCCAAACUCCGAAUGCCAUUAGGUGUAGCGUGGCAGUGAGACUGCGGGGGAUAAGCUUCGUAGUCGAGAGGGAAACAGCCCAGAUCAUCAGCUAAGGCCCCUAAGCGUGCGCUAAGUGGGAAAGGAUGUGGAGUCGCGGUGACAACCAGGAGGUUGGCUUAGAAGCAGCCAUCCUUGAAAGAGUGCGUAAUAGCUCACUGGUCAAGUGGUUCUGCGCCGACAAUGUAGCGGGGCUCAAGCGUACCGCCGAAGCUGUGGCAACAACGCGUUUGUGCUGGCGCCAGGAACUGGAGUGCUGGUGUGUUGUUGGGUAGGGGAGCGUCCUGCACGAGGUGAAGCCUGGAGGUGACUUCUGGUGGAUUGUGUGGGAGUGAGAAUGCAGGCAUGAGUAACGAAUCUGCGGUGAGAAUCCGCAGCGCCGAUUGACUAAGGGUUCCAGGGCUAGGUUUAUCCGCCCUGGGUUAGUCGGGUCCUAAGGCGAGGCCGACAGGCGUAGUCGAUGGACAACCAGUUGAUAUUCUGGUACCAGGUUGUGACCGCCCAUGCUGAGGUCAUUGUGCUAACCAAUUUGCCCGCGCCUCCACAUAACCUUCGGGUUGCGUGGUGUGUGUGGGUCUUGGGGUCCCGGUGAUGGUAGGCAAGCGUGUUAACAGGGGUGACGCAGACAGGUAACUGCAGUGCGCCGAUGGUUGUGCGUAUUUAAGGUUGUGGCCCGCCCUUUAGGUAAAUCCGGGGGGCACUAGGGUGAGGACUGAUGAGGGACACACGUGUGUGUGGACUUGUGGUGAUCCUAUGCUGCCGAGAAAAGCCUCGACGUGAGGGCAUGACCUGCCCGUACCCUAAACCGACUCAGGUGGUCAGGUAGAGUAUACCGAGGCGUUCGAGUGAAUCGUGGUUAAGGAACUCGGCAAAAUUCCUCCGUAACUUCGGGAUAAGGAGGACCCCGUGACUUCCCAAUGCUUUGCGUGUUGGUGGGGUUGUGGGGUCGCAGAGAAUAGGGAGAAGCGACUGUUUAUCAAAAACACAGGUGCGUGCGAAGCCGUAAGGCGAUGUAUACGCACUGACGCCUGCCCGGUGCUGGAAGGUUAAGAGGAACCGUCAACACUCCUUUGGGGUGUGAAGCGGUGAAUUUAAGCCCCAGUAAACGGCGGUGGUAACUAUAACCAUCCUAAGGUAGCGAAAUUCCUUGUCGGGUAAGUUCCGACCUGCACGAAUGGCGUAACGACUUCUCCGCUGUCUCAACCGCGAACUCGGUGAAAUUGCAGUACGAGUAAAGAUGCUCGUUUCGCGCAGAAGGACGGAAAGACCCCGGGACCUUUACUAUAGCUUGGUAUUGGUGUUCGCUUGGACUUGUGUAGGAUAGGUGGGAGACUGUGAAGCUGCCGCGCCAGCGGUGGUGGAGUCGUCGUUGAAAUACCAUUCUGGUUCAAGCGGUCACCUUAACCUUGGCCCGUGAUCCGGGUUGGGGACAGUGCCUGGUGGGUAGUUUAACUGGGGCGGUUGCCUCCUAAAAUGUAACGGAGGCGCUCAAAGGUUCCCUCAGCCUGGUUGGUAAUCAGGUGGCGAGUGCAAGUGUACAAGGGAGCUUGACUGUGAGACCGACGGGUCGAGCAGGUGCGAAAGCAGGAACUAGUGAUCCGGCCAUGGCACGUGGGUGCGUGGUCGCUCAACGGAUAAAAGGUACCCCGGGGAUAACAGGCUGAUCUUGCCCAAGAGUCCAUAUCGACGGCAUGGUUUGGCACCUCGAUGUCGGCUCGUCGCAUCCUGGGGCUGGAGUCGGUCCCAAGGGUUGGGCUGUUCGCCCAUUAAAGCGGUACGCGAGCUGGGUUCAGAACGUCGUGAGACAGUUCGGUCCCUAUCCGCUGCGCGCGUUGGAAAUUUGAGAAAGGCUGUCCUUAGUACGAGAGGACCGGGACGGACGAACCUCUGGUAUGUCAGUUGUACCGCCAGGUGCAUGGCUGAUUGGCUACGUUCGGGAGGGAUAACCGCUGAAAGCAUCUAAGCGGGAAGCUUGUUUCGUGAUGAGUUCUCCUGGCCCCCUGUGUGGGGUGUGAGGUUCCCUGUAGAUGACGGGGUUGAUAGGCCGGGUAUGGAAGCGCUGUAAGGUGUGGAGUUGACUGGUACUAAUAGACCGAAGGCUUACAUUA